rnacentral:rRNA from 1 species
AUUGAACGCUGGCGGCAGGCCUAACACAUGCAAGUCGAACGAGAGGCGGACGGGUGAGUAAUGUAUGGGGAACUGCCUGAUGGAGGGGGAUAACUACUGGAAACGGUAGCUAAUACCGCAUACUAUCGGAUGUGCCCAUAUUGGAUUAGCUAGUAGGUGGGGUAAAGGCUCACCUAGGCGACGAUCCCUAGCUGGUCUGAGAGGAUGACCAGACACACUGGAACUGAGACACGGUCCAGACUCCUACGGGAGGCAGCAGUGGGGAAUAUUGCACAAUGGGCGCAAGCCUGAUGCAGCCAUGCCGCGUGUAUGAAGAAGGCCUUAGGGUUGUAAAGUACUUUCAGCGGGGAGGCGUUACCCGCAGAAGAAGCACCGGCUAACUCCGUGCCAGCAGCCGCGGUAAUUC